rnacentral:rRNA from 1 species
CCACAUCUCGUUCAAACACUGGUUCCUGUACGAUAACCGAAGUUAAGCAACGUCGAGCCUAGUCAGUACCUAGAUGGGUAACCGCUUGGAAAAACCAGGUGCUGUAAG